ACAAAGCUGGUGUAGUCGGUUUGGUUGUACUAUCAGAGAAGUUGAUUCCUAUGCAAAUCGGGGACCUAAGUAGUUUGGUUGCUUUACAUCAAACCCAGCUGCCAGAUCACAAAUAACCUCACAAUUAACAUUGAAUUGACAUAUUCGACCAUUAUUUGGUUGGUCUGUCAAUUGCAUAGGAAUCAACUUCCUCGA